rnacentral:rRNA from 1 species
GAUGAACGCUGGCGGCGUGCCUAAUACAUGCAAGUCGAGCGAACAGAUGAGGAGCUUGCUCCUCUGACGUUAGCGGCGGACGGGUGAGUAACACGUGGAUAACCUACCUAUAAGACUGGGAUAACUUCGGGAAACCGGAGCUAAUACCGGAUAAUAUAUUGAACCGCAUGGUUCAAUAGUGAAAGACGGUUUUGCUGUCACUUAUAGAUGGAUCCGCGCCGCAUUAGCUAGUUGGUAAGGUAACGGCUUACCAAGGCAACGAUGCGUAGCCGACCUGAGAGGGGGAUAGGCGACACUGGAACUGAGACACGGUCAAGACUACUACGGGAGGCAGCAGUAGGGAAUCUUCCGCAAUGGGCGAAAGCCUGACGGAGCAACGGCGAGUGAGUGAUGAAGGUCUUCGGAUCGUAAAACUCUGUUAUUAGGGAAGAACAAAUGUGUAAGUAACUAUGCACGUCUUGACGGUACCUAAUCAGAAAGCCACGGCUAACUACGUG